CUGGAAGUCACCAACUCUGGAAAAGGUGAAAGUCUUCCUAUGGUUAGCAACAAAGAACAAGCUAAGCAGGGAAAAUUCUUGCUAAGAAAAAAGAAUGGAGUGUGAGUGCUGGCUUUAUCUCAUGUGGAGCUAAUGUGGAGUCUAUCAACCAUCUUUUCUUUAGGUGUCCUUUUGCGAGGAGUCUAUGGGCCACCAUCCAGUUGUAGCAGAAUUUGAGAGGGCAACAAUCAGCAUUUCAUAACCUAUGGAAGGGUAGGAGAAGGAAGAAGGAAAGAAUAAUGGCAAAGAAGGAUGGGAACCAGCAAAUUGCAGCGGUUUGGUAGGAGAUAUGGAGGGAGAGAAAUGCCCGUCUCUUUCUGAACAAGAAAGGAUCUUUUUAUUCUGUUUUGCAGAAGAUGUUUCAGUCAUUCUGCAAUUGGGGGCAUAUAUGUUCUUCCAAGAAUGGAACUGAGCAUCAAAACCUCUGGAAAGGAAUCGAAUCUUGGGCACAUCCAACCA
rnacentral:lncRNA from 1 species